AACUCUGUAGCUCAGUAGUAGAACAACUGCUUUGGAUGCACAAGGUCCCAGGUUCAAUCCCUGGAUGGGCUA
rnacentral:tRNA from 1 species